rnacentral:lncRNA from 1 species
UUCUAACUGAACAUAAGUAUAUUUCAUGCUUCGUUCAUUCAUGCAAGUUUGCUUCUUCGAGUGGCCGACAAUACACCGGUUCCUAAGUUUAGUUUGUAACUUGCUUCCCUUUUUCUAGGCCGCCGUUGUCUUCGUUCCAAGGGUAGAUCGUGUGAACACGCUUCUUAGUGCAUGCCCCGGUCACCACCAUACAUGUCUCGCCGGCACCGAAGCCAUCACAAAAACUGCUUGAAGCAACAUCGAUUAGACAUUAUGCAUGAGUAUAUAAGAAAGGAAGCAAACAAUUGAAGAACGGUGACGUUGGUAUACCCCAUACUUCUGCAUGCCGCCCUGCCAUAAAACUGAUGAAGCAAAGAUGCAAUGUAAGAAAGCAUGCACGUACUCCUUCCUACUUGCUUUAUCACCGUCGUUUAUGUCAGUGACCCAGACCUUCCCACUAUGUCACUAUGUUCCAACCGCCGUCUCAAUUCUAGGCCGAAGAUGACCUCUUCUACCGCAAAGGUUUGGAAGCUGGCGCCGGCAAGCUGCACGCGAUUAUAUGAUAAGGAGCAAACCGGGCCGUCGGGCCGCACAGAGAUGAUGAUGAGCAGGAGGCCUGCGUUCUUGACCUGCCGUCAAGUGUACACAUUACCGACUUGUUUCCAUGCCAUUCAUGCUGCAUGACAAAGUGAUACUCAAUAAAAUUCCAAACUAAAGCAAAUAAAAAAGAAGUGAUGAGAAAAACCGGACUAUAGUCUCAAUGAGUGCAUACCCGGACGCACGAGUAGUUUCUUUGCCGGGCCAAAAAGGCGCACCAGCACGGUGGGAGAGAUGGUCAUGGCCUCACGCGGCAGGGUCAGGCGAGGACAAGCGCGGGGAUUGGGGUUACUUGGUCGGCUGUGAAAGCAGAGAUCGAUGGAGCACAGAAGCCGUUGUAGCCGACGCCAAUUUCUUGCUGCUGAGCAGGUUGAUGCAGAGGAAGUCGUCGUGGUGGAGUUCUGGGAUGAGCGCGAUAGUGAGAUGCGAGACGGGCUGGGGUGUAUGGGACGGGGGAGCAGGCGAGAUUUACUCGCCCGGGCGUUUUGAGGUGGUUG